rnacentral:rRNA from 1 species
UACGAAGGGGGCUAGCGUUGCUCGGAAUCACUGGGCGUAAAGGGCGUGUAGGCGGUCCGCUAAGUCUGAUGUGAAAGCCCGAGGCUUACCCUCGGAAGUGCAUUGGAGACUGGCGGACUGGAGUCCCGGAGAGGAGGGUGGAAUUCCUGGUGUAGCGGUGAAAUGCGUAGAUAUCAGGAGGAACACCGGUGGCGAAGGCGGCCCUCUGGACGGUGACUGACGCUGAGACGCGAAAGCGUGGGGAGCAAACAGG